GACGAACGCUGGCGGCGUGCCUAACACAUGCAAGUCGAGCGGGGUCCAUCCGGUGGCAACACCGGGGAAGACCUAGCGGCGAACGGGUGAGUAACACGUGAGAAACCUGCCCCGAAAUCUGGGAUAACCCGAGGAAACUCGGGCUAAUACCGGAUGCCCUUCACCAAUCGCAUGGUCGGUGAAGGAAAGAAUUUCGUUUCGGGAGGGUCUCGCGGCCUAUCAGCUAGUUGGUGGGGUAACGGCCCACCAAGGCAUCGACGGGUAGCUGGUCUGAGAGGACGAUCAGCCACACUGGGACUGAGACACGGCCCAGACUCCUACGGGAGGCAGCAGUGGGGAAUCUUGCGCAAUGGGCGAAAGCCUGACGCAGCAACGCCGCGUGCGGGAUGAAGGCCUUCGGGUUGUAAACCGCUUUCAGCAGGGACGAAUUUUGACGGUACCUGCAGAAGAAGCCCCGGCCAACUACGUGCCAGCCGCCGCCGUAAAAC
rnacentral:rRNA from 1 species